GCGGUGGCACAGAAUCGGAGGCCCCGACUGUUUACUAAAAACACAACACAGUGCAAUCAUUAAUAUGAUAGUAUACUGUGUGAAAUUUGCCCAAUGCCAUUAAUAUAAGAGCGGUCAUGGGGAACUGUGACUAAUCGAAAAUCUGGUUAAUAGCGGUCUUAACUAUGAGGAUCCUAAGGUAGCAAAAUAAAUUGGCCAUUAAAUGUGGUCCGGUAUCAAUAAUGUAACGAUGGCCUCACUGUCUCUACAACUUGCUCAGUGAAAUUGAAUUACGCGUGCAGAUGCGCGUUGCCUCCAGGGGGACGGGAAGACCCUAUGCAGCUUCUA
rnacentral:rRNA from 1 species